CCUACGGGAGGCAGCAGUGGGGAAUAUUGCGCAAUGGGCGAAAGCCUGAUGCAGCGACGCCGCGUGAGGGAUGAAGGUCUUCGGAUCGUAAACCUCUGUCAGCAGGGAAGAACGGUCACUGUGCUAAUCAUCAGUUCAUUGACGGUACCUGCAAAGGAAGCACCGGCUAACUCCGUGCCAGCAGCCGCGGUAAUACGGAGGGUGCGAGCGUUAAUCGGAAUUACUGGGCGUAAAGCGCUCGUAGGCGGUAUGUUAAGUCAAGGGUGAAAUCCCCGCGCUCAACGUGGGAACUGCAUUUGAAACUGGCAAACUGGAGUGUGUGAGAGGAUAGUGGAAUUCCAGGUGUAGGAGUGAAAUGCGUAGAUAUCUGGAGGAACAUCAGUGGCGAAGGCGACUGUCUGGCACAUAACUGACGCUGAGGAGCGAAAGCGUGGGUAGCAAACAGGAUUAGAUACCCUGGUAGUC
rnacentral:rRNA from 1 species